rnacentral:rRNA from 1 species
GACGAACGCUGGCGGCGUGCUUAACACAUGCAAGUCGAACGGAAAGGCCCUGCUUUUGUGGGGUGCUCGAGUGGCGAACGGGUGAGUAACACGUGAGUAACCUGCCCUUGACUUUGGGAUAACUUCAGGAAACUGGGGCUAAUACCGGAUAGGAGCUCCUGCUGCAUGGGGGGGGUUGGAAAGUUUCGGCGGUUGGGGAUGGACUCGCGGCUUAUCAGCUUGUUGGUGGGGUAGUGGCUUACCAAGGCUUUGACGUGUAGCCGGCCUGGGAGGGUGACCGGCCACAUUGGGACUGAGAUACGGCCCAGACUCCUACGGGAGGCAGCAGUGGGGAAUAUUGCACAAUGGGCGGAAGCCUGAUGCAGCAACGCCGCGUGCGGGAUGACGGCCUUCGGGUUGUAAACCGCUUUCGCCUGUGACGAAGCGUGAGUGACGGUAAUGGGUAAAGAAGCACCGGCUAACUACGUG